rnacentral:rRNA from 1 species
CCUACGGGAUGCAGCAGUGGGGAAUAUUGCACAAUGGGGGGAACCCUGAUGCAGCAACGCCGCGUGGGUGAAGAAGUACUCCGGUAUGUAAAGCCCUGUCAGCAGGGAAGAAAAUGACGGUACCUGACCAAGAAGCCCCGGCUAACUACGUGCCAGCAGCCGCGGUAAUACGUAGGGGGCAAGCGUUAUCCGGAUUUACUGGGUGUAAAGGGAGCGUAGACGGCAAGGCAAGUCUGGAGUGAAAGCCCGUGGCCCAACCACGGGACUGCUUUGGAAACUGUGUUGCUGGAGUGCAGGAGGGGUAAGCGGAAUUCCUAGUGUAGCGGUGAAAUGCGUAGAUAUUAGGAGGAACUCCGAUAGCGAAGGCAGCUUACCAGACUGCGACUGACGCUGAAGCACGAGAGCGUGGGUAGCGAACAGGAUUAGAUACCCCAGUAGUC